rnacentral:rRNA from 1 species
AGUGAACGCUGGCGGUAGGCCUAACACAUGCAAGUCGAACGGCAGCACAGUAAGAGCUUGCUCUUACGGGUGGCGAGUGGCGGACGGGUGAGGAAUACAUCGGAAUCUACUUUUUCGUGGGGGAUAACGUAGGGAAACUUACGCUAAUACCGCAUACGACCUACGGGUGAAAGCAGGGGAUCUUCGGACCUUGCGCGAUUGAAUGAGCCGAUGUCGGAUUAGCUAGUUGGCGGGGUAAAGGCCCACCAAGGCGACGAUCCGUAGCUGGUCUGAGAGGAUGAUCAGCCACACUGGAACUGAGACACGGUCCAGACUCCUACGGGAGGCAGCAGUGGGGAAUAUUGGACAAUGGGCGCAAGCCUGAUCCAGCCAUACCGCGUGGGUGAAGAAGGCCUUCGGGUUGUAAAGCCCUUUUGUUGGGAAAGAAAAGCAGCAGGUUAAUACCCCGCUGUUCUGACGGUACCAAAAGAAUAAGCACCGGGUAACUUCGUG